rnacentral:rRNA from 1 species
UACGGAGUGUGCAAGCGUUACUCGGAAUCACUGGGCAUAAAGCGCGCGUAGGCGGGCUUUCAAGUCGGUUGUGAAAUCCCUCAGCUCAACUGAGGAACUGCAUCCGAUACUGUCUGUCUUGAGGACGAGAGGGGAGAGUGGAACUUCUGGUGGAGCGGUGAAAUGCGUAGAUAUCAGGAAGAACACCCGUGGCGAAGGCGGCUCUCUGGGACGGUACUGACGCUGAGACGCGAAAGCGUGGGGAGCGAACAGG